GGGGGGCGACCCCGAGCGUCCAGUACCCCACGGCGCGGAGCGGUUCUGGAGGAUGGUGGGGCGGGGAGAGAUGAAGCGGCCAGGAGAUCGCCACCCCAGCCUGGGUCCCCGGGGAGGAAACGCAAGUUGAACAAAACAAUGAAAAACAAACUUCUUUAGAAGGUCGAAUGAAAGUAAUAUCUAGCUGAAGAAGUCAUUGGCCAAAGGGAUCUAUGAUGUCAGUGCUCCUGCCUCCACCUGCUGGCAAACAGAUUAUGAAACUAGCAGAGAUCACCGGGUAAAAAAAGUUCACAUUUUUUUUGUAACAAAUUAAUGCUGUUUUAAGUAUAUAUUUAGCAGGAUGCUACUCUGCAUUAAUAAAUCAUUAAAAGAUAGAUGAAAUCCAUUAAAAAAAACAUUAAACUUCACCAAAAAAUAAAUAAAUAUAUACACAAACAUACGAAAGAUUUCUUGGUUCAGAAUGUUAUCUAACAAGCCAAAAAUCAAGUUAAAAAUUUUUUUA